AGUGAACGCUGGCGGUAGGCCUAACACAUGCAAGUCGAACGGCAGCACAGUAAGAUCUUGCUCUUACGGGUGGCGAGUGGCGGACGGGUGAGGAAUACAUCGGAAUCUACUUUUUCGUGGGGGAUAACGUAGGGAAACUUACGCUAAUACCGCAUACGACCUACGGGUGAAAGCAGUGGAUCUUCGGACCUUUCGCGAUUGAAUGAGCCGAUGUCGGAUUAGCUAGUUGGCGGGGUAAAGGCCCACCAAGGCGACGAUCCGUAGCUGGUCUGAGAGGAUGAUCAGCCACACUGGAACUGAGACACGGUCCAGACUCCUACGGGAGGCAGCAGUGGGGAAUAUUGGACAAUGGGCGCAAGCCUGAUCCAGCCAUACCGCGUGGGUGAAGAAGGCCUUCGGGUUGUAAAGCCCUUUUGUUGGGAAAGAAAAGCAGCAGGUUAACACCCCGCUGUUCUGACGGUACCCAAAGAAUAAGCACCGGCUAACUUCGUG
rnacentral:rRNA from 1 species